rnacentral:rRNA from 1 species
GGUUAAGUGACUAAGCGUACACGGUGGAUGCCUUGGCAGUCAGAGGCGAUGAAGGACGUACUAACUUGCGAUAAGCGGUGAUGAGGCAGUAAGAGCCACUUGAGUCACCGAUUUCCGAAUGGGGAAACCCACUGGCAUAAGCCAGUAUCGCUGCAUGAAUACAUAGUGCAGCGAAGCGAACCGGGAGAACUGAAACAUCUAAGUACCCCGAGGAAAAGAAAUCAACCGAGAUUCCGAAAGUAGCGGCGAGCGAAAUUGGAUUAGCCCUUAAGCUUUAUAUGCGUUAGACGAAUGGUCUGGAAAGGCCAACGAUACCGGGUGAUAGUCCCGUAGUUAUAGGCGCAUGUUCAGUGAAAUCGAGUAGGGCGGG